ACGCUCGACACCUACGGAGGCAGCAGUAGGGAAUCUUCCACAAUGGACGCAAGUCUGAUGGAGCAACGCCGCGUGAGUGAAGAAGGUCUUCGGAUCGUAAAACUCUGUUGUUAGAGAAGAACACGAGUGAGAGUAACUGUUCAUUCGAUGACGGUAUCUAACCAGCAAGUCACGGCUAACUACGUGCCAGAGCCGCGGUAAUCUGAGCGGGCUGGCAAGGC
rnacentral:rRNA from 1 species